GGGUUGUGAGGUUAAGCGACUAAGCGUACAUGGUGGAUGCCCUGGCAGUCAGAGGCGAUGAAGGACGUGCUAAUCUGCGAUAAGCGUCGGUGAGGUGAUAUGAACCGUUAUAACCGGCGAUUUCCGAAUGGGGAAACCCAGUGUGUUUCGACACACUAUCAUUAACUGAAUCCAUAGGUUAAUGAGGCGAACCGGGGGAACUGAAACAUCUAAGUACCCCGAGGAAAAGAAAUCAACCGAGAUUCCCCCAGUAGCGGCGAGCGAACGGGGAGGAGCCCAGAGCCUGAAUCAGUGUGUGUGUUAGUGGAAGCGUCUGGAAAGGCGUGCGAUACAGGGUGACAGCCCCGUACACAAAAAUGCACAUAUUGUGAGCUCGAUGAGUAGGGCGGGACACGUGGUAUCCUGUCUGAAUAUGGGGGGACCAUCCUCCAAGGCUAAAUACUCCUGACUGACCGAUAGUGAACCAGUACCGUGAGGGAAAGGCGAAAAGAACCCCGGCGAGGGGAGUGAAAAAGAACCUGAAACCGUGUACGUACAAGCAGUGGGAGCCUCUUAAUGAGGUGACUGCGUACCUUUUGUAUAAUGGGUCAGCGACUUAUAUUCUGUAGCAAGGUUAACCGAAUAGGGGAGCCGAAGGGAAACCGAGUCUUAACUGGGCGUUAAGUUGCAGGGUAUAGACCCGAAACCCGGUGAUCUAGCCAUGGGCAGGUUGAAGGUUGGGUAACACUAACUGGAGGACCGAACCGACUAAUGUUGAAAAAUUAGCGGAUGACUUGUGGCUGGGGGUGAAAGGCCAAUCAAACCGGGAGAUAGCUGGUUCUCCCCGAAAGCUAUUUAGGUAGCGCCUCGUGAAUUCAUCUCCGGGGGUAGAGCACUGUUUCGGCAAGGGGGUCAUCCCGACUUACCAACCCGAUGCAAACUGCGAAUACCGGAGAAUGUUAUCACGGGAGACACACGGCGGGUGCUAACGUCCGUCGUGAAGAGGGAAACAACCCAGACCGCCAGCUAAGGUCCCAAAGUCAUGGUUAAGUGGGAAACGAUGUGGGAAGGCCCAGACAGCCAGGAUGUUGGCUUAGAAGCAGCCAUCAUUUAAAGAAAGCGUAAUAGCUCACUGGUCGAGUCGGCCUGCGCGGAAGAUGUAACGGGGCUAAACCAUGCACCGAAGCUGCGGCAGCGACACUAUGUGUUGUUGGGUAGGGGAGCGUUCUGUAAGCCUGUGAAGGUGGCCUGUGAGGGUUGCUGGAGGUAUCAGAAGUGCGAAUGCUGACAUAAGUAACGAUAAAGCGGGUGAAAAGCCCGCUCGCCGGAAGACCAAGGGUUCCUGUCCAACGUUAAUCGGGGCAGGGUGAGUCGACCCCUAAGGCGAGGCCGAAAGGCGUAGUCGAUGGGAAACAGGUUAAUAUUCCUGUACUUGGUGUUACUGCGAAGGGGGGACGGAGAAGGCUAUGUUGGCCGGGCGACGGUUGUCCCGGUUUAAGCGUGUAGGCUGGUUUUCCAGGCAAAUCCGGAAAACCAAGGCUGAGGCGUGAUGACGAGGCACUACGGUGCUGAAGCGACAAAUGCCCUGCUUCCAGGAAAAGCCUCUAAGCAUCAGGUAACAUCAAAUCGUACCCCAAACCGACACAGGUGGUCAGGUAGAGAAUACCAAGGCGCUUGAGAGAACUCGGGUGAAGGAACUAGGCAAAAUGGUGCCGUAACUUCGGGAGAAGGCACGCUGAUAUGUAGGUGAAGCGACUUGCUCGUGGAGCUGAAAUCAGUCGAAGAUACCAGCUGGCUGCAACUGUUUAUUAAAAACACAGCACUGUGCAAACACGAAAGUGGACGUAUACGGUGUGACGCCUGCCCGGUGCCGGAAGGUUAAUUGAUGGGGUUAGCGGCAACGCGAAGCUCUUGAUCGAAGCCCCGGUAAACGGCGGCCGUAACUAUAACGGUCCUAAGGUAGCGAAAUUCCUUGUCGGGUAAGUUCCGACCUGCACGAAUGGCGUAAUGAUGGCCAGGCUGUCUCCACCCGAGACUCAGUGAAAUUGAACUCGCUGUGAAGAUGCAGUGUACCCGCGGCAAGACGGAAAGACCCCGUGAACCUUUACUAUAGCUUGACACUGAACAUUGAGCCUUGAUGUGUAGGAUAGGUGGGAGGCUUUGAAGUGUGGACGCCAGUCUGCAUGGAGCCGACCUUGAAAUACCACCCUUUAAUGUUUGAUGUUCUAACGUUGGCCCGUAAUCCGGGUUGCGGACAGUGUCUGGUGGGUAGUUUGACUGGGGCGGUCUCCUCCUAAAGAGUAACGGAGGAGCACGAAGGUUGGCUAAUCCUGGUCGGACAUCAGGAGGUUAGUGCAAUGGCAUAAGCCAGCUUGACUGCGAGCGUGACGGCGCGAGCAGGUGCGAAAGCAGGUCAUAGUGAUCCGGUGGUUCUGAAUGGAAGGGCCAUCGCUCAACGGAUAAAAGGUACUCCGGGGAUAACAGGCUGAUACCGCCCAAGAGUUCAUAUCGACGGCGGUGUUUGGCACCUCGAUGUCGGCUCAUCACAUCCUGGGGCUGAAGUAGGUCCCAAGGGUAUGGCUGUUCGCCAUUUAAAGUGGUACGCGAGCUGGGUUUAGAACGUCGUGAGACAGUUCGGUCCCUAUCUGCCGUGGGCGCUGGAGAACUGAGGGGGGCUGCUCCUAGUACGAGAGGACCGGAGUGGACGCAUCACUGGUGUUCGGGUUGUCAUGCCAAUGGCACUGCCCGGUAGCUAAAUGCGGAAGAGAUAAGUGCUGAAAGCAUCUAAGCACGAAACUUGCCCCGAGAUGAGUUCUCCCUGACUCCUUGAGAGUCCUGAAGGAACGUUGAAGACGACGACGUUGAUAGGCCGGGUGUGUAAGCGCAGCGAUGCGUUGAGCUAACCGGUACUAAUGAACCGUGAGGCUUAACCUUACAACGCCGAAG
rnacentral:rRNA from 1 species